UACGUAGGGUGCAAGCGUUGUCCGGAAUUAUUGGGCGUAAAGAGCUUGUAGGCGGUUUGUCGCGUCUGCUGUGAAAUUUCGGGGCUCAACCCCGAACUUGCGGUGGGUACGGGCAGACUAGAGUGUGGUAGGGGAGACUGGAAUUCCUGGUAUAGCGGUGAAAUGCGCAGAUAUCAGGAGGAACACCGAUGGCGAAGGCAGGUCUCUGGGCCAUAACUGACGCUGAGAAGCGAAAGCAUGGGGAGCGAACAGG
rnacentral:rRNA from 1 species